AGAUGAAAAUUCCCGAUUUCGGCUCGGAGAUAAGACAUCUAUUUUGUCCAUCUU
rnacentral:tRNA from 1 species